UACAGAGGUCUCAAGCGUUGUUCGGAUUCAUUGGGCGUAAAGGGUGCGUAGGUGGCGAGGUUAGUCAGGUGUGAAAUCUCGGGGCUCAACCCCGAAAUUGCACUGGAUACUGCUCUGCUAGAGGGCUGGAGAGGAGAUCGGAAUUCACGGUGUAGCAGUGAAAUGCGUAGAUAUCGUGAGGAAGACCAGUGGCGAAGGCGGAUCUCUGGACAGCUCCUGACGCUGAGGCGCGAAGGCUAGGGGAGCAAGCGGG
rnacentral:rRNA from 1 species